rnacentral:tRNA from 1 species
ACUCUUCUAGUAUACUUAAUACAAGAGACUUCCAAUCUUUAGAAUCUGGUACAACCCCAGAGAAGAGUA